GCUCGCAAGCCCGGAAGUAACCGGGAACGGGCAACUUCGUAGCUCCCACCCGACGUGGUGGCCUCCUUGCGGUUUCCUUUCGCCGUUUCCGAACCGAGGGAUUGCUACUCGCCUUUGGCUUGGCGGUCUCUGUGCUCGGGGGUCCGAAAACUGCUGGAAGGCCCCCGGUCUCUGGAGGGGAGCAGGCGGUAGCGAGUUUAGUGACGUGGAGCAGGCGCAGAACAGUCGGAGGUACCUGAGUGGUUAUUAAAAACGAUUUGAAGAGAUUUCCUGGGUGUGGAGUGUGACUUUCCAAAACCAGCUUUUCCUUGAGCUGUAUUUGUUGCAGCAAUGUUUAGGAGAUUGACUUUUGCACAACUGCUUUUUGCCACUGUCCUUGGAAUUGCUGGAGGAGUAUAUAUUUUUCAACCAGUAUUUGAACAGUAUGCCAAAGAUCAGAAGGAAUUAAAAGAAAAGAUGCAGUUGGUACAAGAAUCAGAAGAGAAGAAAAGUUAAUACUACAUGGAGUUAGGCCUGGCGCAGUGGCUCACGCCUGUAAUCCCAGCACUUUGGGAGGCCGAGGCGGGUGGAUCAGGUGGUCAGGAGUUCAAGACCAGCCUGACCAACAUGGUGAAACCCUGUCUCUACUGAAAAUACAAAAAUCAGCCAGGCUUGGUGGCAUGCGCCUGUAAUCCUCAGCCUCCCGAGCAGCUGGGAUUACAGGUGCCUGCUACCACACCCGUCUUCUGGUCCAUAUUUGUUACGGCUCCAGCUGAGCUUUUGCUCGCCGUCCACCCCUGUUGUUUGCCGCUGUCGCAGACCCGCCGCUGACUUCCAUCCCUCCGGAUCCAGCAGGGUGUCUGCUGUGCUCCUGAUCCAGCGAGGCGCCCAUUGCCACUCCUGAUCGGACUGAAGGCUUGCCAUUGUUCCUGCACGGCUAAGAGCCUGGGUUCGUCCUAAUCGAGCUGAACACUAGUCACUGGGUUCCACGGUUCUCUUCCGUGACCCACGGCUUCUAAUAGAGCUAUAACACUCACCGCAUGGCCCAAGAUUCCAUUCCUUGGAAUCCGUGAGGCCAAGAACCCCAGGUCAGAGAACACGAGGCUUGCCACCGUCUUGGAAGCAGCCUGCCACUAUCGGGAGCUCUGGGAGUAAGGACCCCCAGUAACAUUUGGUGACCACGAAGGGAUCUCCAAAGCAAUGGGAAACGUUCCCCCCAAGGCAGAAACGCCCCUGAGAUGUAUUCUGGAGAAUUGGGACCAACUGGACUCUCACAUGCUAAGAAAUAAACGACUUAUAUUCUUCUGCAGUACCACCUGGCCACGAUAUCCUCUUCAAGGGGGAGAAACCUGGCCUCCUGAGGGAAGUAUAAAUUAUAACACUAGCUUACAGCUACACCUCUUUUGUAGAAAAGAAGGCAUAAGGAGU
rnacentral:lncRNA from 10 species